UACAGAGGUCUCAAGCGCUGUUCGGAUUCAUUGGGCGUAAAGGGUGCGUAGGCGGCGCGGUAAGUCGGGUGUGAAAUCUUGGAGCUUAACUCCGAAACUGCAUUCGAUACUGCCGUGCUUGAGGACUGGAGAGGAGACUGGAAUUUACGGUGUAGCGGUGAAAUGCGUAGAUAUCGUAAGGAAGACCAGUGGCGAAGGCGGGUCUCUGGACAGUUCCUGACGCUGAGGCACGAAGGUCAGGGGAGCAAACGGG
rnacentral:rRNA from 1 species